rnacentral:rRNA from 1 species
CCGGGCGACGGUUGUCCCGGUUUAAGCGUGUAGGUGUGUGUUCCAGGUAAAUCCGGUUCACUUUAACACUGAGGCGUGAUGACGAGGCACUACGGUGCUGAAGUAACAAAUGCCCUGCUUCCAGGAAAAGCCUCUAAGCAUCAGGUAACAUCAAAUCGUACCCCAAACCGACACAGGUGGUCAGGUAGAGAAUACCAAGGCGCUUGAGAGAACUCGGGUGAAGGAACUAGGCAAAAUGGUGCCGUAACUUCGGGAGAAGGCACGCUGACACGUAGGUGAAGUGAUUUACUCACGGAGCUGAAGUCAGUCGAAGAUACCAGCUGGCUGCAACUGUUUAUUAAAAACACAGCACUGUGCAAACACGAAAGUGGACGUAUACGGUGUGACGCCUGCCCGGUGCCGGAAGGUUAAUUGAUGGGGUCAGCGCAAGCGAAGCUCCUGAUCGAAGCCCCGGUAAACGGCGGCCGUAACUAUAACGGUCCUAAGGUAGCGAAAUUCCUUGUCGGGUAAGUUCCGACCUGCACGAAUGGCGUAAUGAUGGCCAGGCUGUCUCCACCCGAGACUCAGUGAAAUUGAACUCGCUGUGAAGAUGCAGUGUACCCGCGGCAAGACGGAAAGACCCCGUGAACCUUUACUAUAGCUUGACACUGAACAUUGAGCCUUGAUGUGUAGGAUAGGUGGGAGGCUUUGAAGUGUGGACGCCAGUCUGCAUGGAGCCGACCUUGAAAUACCACCCUUUAAUGUUUGAUGUUCUAACGUGGACCCGUUACCCGGGUUGCGGACAGUGUCUGGUGGGUAGUUUGACUGGGGCGGUCUCCUCCUAAAGAGUAACGGAGGAGCACGAAGGUUGGCUAAUCCUGGUCGGACAUCAGGAGGUUAGUGCAAUGGCAUAAGCCAGCUUGACUGCGAGCGUGACGGCGCGAGCAGGUGCGAAAGCAGGUCAUAGUGAUCCGGUGGUUCUGAAUGGAAGGGCCAUCGCUCAACGGAUAAAAGGUACUCCGGGGAUAACAGGCUGAUACCGCCCAAGAGUUCAUAUCGACGGCGGUGUUUGGCACCUCGAUGUCGGCUCAUCACAUCCUGGGGCUGAAGUAGGUCCCAAGGGUAUGGCUGUUCGCCAUUUAAAGUGGUACGCGAGCUGGGUUUAGAACGUCGUGAGACAGUUCGGUCCCUAUCUGCCGUGGGCGCUGGAGAACUGAGGGGGGCUGCUCCUAGUACGAGAGGACCGGAGUGGACGCAUCACUGGUGUUCGGGUUGUCAUGCCAAUGGCACUGCCCGGUAGCUAAAUGCGGAAGAGAUAAGUGCUGAAAGCAUCUAAGCACGAAACUUGCCCCGAGAUGAGUUCUCCCUGAGACUUUAGGUCUCCUGAAGGAACGUUGAAGACGACGACGUUGAUAGGCCGGGUGUGUAAGCGCAGCGAUGCGUUGAGCUAACCGGUACUAAUGAACCGUGAGGCUUAACCUU